rnacentral:rRNA from 1 species
GGGCGUUAAGUUGCAGGGUAUAGACCCGAAACCCGGUGAUCUAGCCAUGGGCAGGUUGAAGGUUGGGUAACACUAACUGGAGGACCGAACCGACUAAUGUUGAAAAAUUAGCGGAUGACCUGUGGCUGGGGGUGAAAGGCCAAUCAAACCGGGAGAUAGCUGGUUCUCCCCGAAAGCUAUUUAGGUAGCGCCUCGUGAAUUCAUCUCCGGGGGUAGAGCACUGUUUCGGCUAGGGGGCCAUCCCGGCUUACCAACCCGAUGCAAACUGCGAAUACCGGAGAAUGUUAUCACGGGAGACACACGGCGGGUGCUAACGUCCGUCGUGAAGAGGGAAACAACCCAGACCGCCAGCUAAGGUCCCAAAGUCAUGGUUAAGUGGGAAACGAUGUGGGAAGGCCCAGACAGCCAGGAUGUUGGCUUAGAAGCAGCCAUCAUUUAAAGAAAGCGUAAUAGCUCACUGGUCGAGUCGGCCUGCGCGGAAGAUGUAACGGGGCUAAACCAUGCACCGAAGCUGCGGCAGCGANNNNNNNNNNNNNNNNNNNNNUGCUGGAGGUAUCAGAAGUGCGAAUGCUGACAUAAGUAACGAUAAAGCGGGUGAAAAGCCCGCUCGCCGGAAGACCAAGGGUUCCUGUCCAACGUUAAUCGGGGCAGGGUGAGUCGACCCCUAAGGCGAGGCCGAAAGGCGUAGUCGAUGGGAAACGGGUUAAUAUUCCCGUACUUGGUGUUACUGCGAAGGGGGGACGGAGAAGGCUAUGUUGGCCGGGCGACGGUUGUCCCGGUUUAAGCGUGUAGGUGUGUGUUCCAGGUAAAUCCGGUUCACUUUAACACUGAGGCGUGA